rnacentral:rRNA from 1 species
UACGUAGGUGGCAAGCGUUGUCCGGAUUUACUGGACGUAAAGGGAGUGUAGGCGGAUACCUAAGUCAGAUGUGAAAUACCCGGGCUCAACCUGGGUGCUGCAUUUGAAACUGGGUGUCUAGAGUGCAGGAGAGGAAAGUGGAAUUCCUAGUGUAGCGGUGAAAUGCGUAGAGAUUAGGAAGAACACCAGUGGCGAAGGCGACUUUCUGGACUGUAACUGACGCUGAGGCUCGAAAGCGUGGGGAGCAAACAGGAUUAGAUACCCUGGUAGUCCACGCCGUAAACGAUGGGUACUAGGUGUGGGAGGGAUCGACUCCUUCCGUGCCGCCGUAAACACAAUAAGUACCCCGCCUGGGGAGUACGGUCGCAAGAUUAAA